rnacentral:rRNA from 1 species
GAUGAACGCUGGCGGCGUGCCUAACACAUGCAAGUCGAGCGAACAGACGAGGUUCUUGCUCCUCUGACGUUAGCGGCGGGCGUGUGAGUAACAUGUGGUGCACCUACCUAUAAGACUGGGAUAACUUCGUGAAACCAGUGCUAAUACCGGAUCCUAUCUUCAACCGGAUGGUUCAAUAGUGAAAGACGGUUUUGCUGUCCCUUCUAGAUAGAUCCGCGUCGCAUUAGCUAGUUGGUAAGGUAACGGCUUACGAAGGCAACCAUGCGUGGCCGACCCGAGAACGUGUUCCGCCACUCUGGAACUGAGACACGAUCCAGACUCCUACGGGAGGCACAGGUAGCGAAUCGACCGCGAAGGGCGGAAGCUUGACGGAGCAACGCCGCGUGGAUGAUGAAAGGCUGCGGGUCGUAAAACGCUGUUCUUGGGGAAGAACGAAUGUGUAAGUAGCGAAGCACGUGUUGACGGUACCUAAAGAGAAAGCAACGGCUAACUACGUG